UGGCUCAGGAUGAACGCUAGCGACAGGCUAACACAUGCAAGUCGAGGGCAGCAUAAAAGUAGCAAUACGUUUGGUGGCGACCGGCGCACGGGUGAGUAACGCGUAUGCAACCUACCUAUCAGAGGGGAAUAACCCGGCGAAAGUCGGACUAAUACCGCAUAAAACAGGGGCACCGCAUGGUGAUAUUUGUUAAAGAAAUUCGCUGAUAGAUGGGCAUGCGUUCCAUUAGGUAGUUGGUGAGGUAACGGCUCACCAAGCCGACGAUGGAUAGGGGAACUGAGAGGUUGGUCCCCCACACUGGUACUGAGACACGGACCAGACUCCUACGGGAGGCAGCAGUGAGGAAUAUUGGUCAAUGGGCGGGAGCCUGAACCAGCCAAGUCGCCGUGAAGGAAGAAGGAUCUAUGGUUCGUAAACUUCUUUUGCAGGGGAAUAAAGUGCAGGACGUGUCCUGUUUUGUAUGUACCCUGAGAAUAAGGAUCGGCUAACUCCGUGCCAGCCGCGGC
rnacentral:rRNA from 1 species